UCCUCCCAGCAGCCAUUUUUGUUUUCCAAG
rnacentral:piRNA from 1 species